rnacentral:misc_RNA from 1 species
UUAGUUUAUUUUGUUUGUUUUCAGACAUUCACCAAUAAGGAAAAAAGGGGUCUUCUGGCGGGCGCUCCAGCCACCGCGAGGGCAGCCAGGAACGAAUUCGGGCCCGCCGAAGCAACAUGAACAAAUUCACUGGGGUUUGGAAGGGUAGCGGACAAAAAAGUCCGCGACUCGUAAUGAUCCUUCCGCAGGUUCACCUACGGAAA